rnacentral:rRNA from 1 species
CCUACGGGAGGCAGCAGUGAGGAAUAUUGCACAAUGGGGGAAACCCUGAUGCAGCGACGCCGCGUGGGUGAAGAAGCGCCUCGGCGCGUAAAGCCCUGUCAGCAGGGAAGAAAAUGACGGUACCUGAAGAAGAAGCCCCGGCUAACUACGUGCCAGCAGCCGCGGUAAUACGGAGGGGGCAAGCGUUAUCCGGAUUUACUGGGUGUAAAGGGGGCGCAGACGGCGAUGCAAGCCAGGAGUGAAAGCCCGGGGCCCAACCCCGGGACUGCUCUUGGAACUGCGUGGCUAGAGUGCAGGAGGGGCAGGCGGAAUGCCUGGUGUAGCGGUGAAAUGCGUAGAUAGCAGGAGGAACACCGGUGGCGAAGGCGGCCUGCUGGACUGCAACUGACGUUGAGGCCCGAAAGCGUGGGGAGCAAACAGGAUUAGAUACCCCAGUAGUC